GAUCGCCACCGCGCUCCUUUUGCGGCGGAACAAAAUCCUCUGGCUGUGGUUGACUGGCUUUCCCCGGCAUCGAUAACAACGACCCAUGAGGGGCGAGCCGGGUAGGGGGCGUGGGGGUAGUGGUGGGAGUGUGCUCUCACUUGCUAUCUUCUUCCUCCUGUGCAUCCCCCUUUCUACAGGGCGGAGCAAAUCCUCUGGGCGAGGAUGCCUGGUGUCUCUCGGGCUCUGAUAGCCACCAUCCACGAGGAGGAGCUCUCAUCUGUGACAGCCUUCCUCUCCCUGAGCAUCCACCUUUCUACAGGUGAGGAUGACAGCCCCCAGUGGCCUGAGAGAAAAUGAGAAGGUGAGUCAGCGAGGGCACAGGGAUUGGCGAGGUGGUUGGGUGGGUCUAGUCGGGGAGAGAACGCUGGAGGAGGAAAAGAGGAGAACCCUAAUGGGCGCUGGAUAGGCAGCUGACAACUCCAACCCAACCUCAGAGUCUGGUGCAGGUCUCUAAUGGGCGCUUCCAUAAUAGUCUGGCCUCUCUACUCCCUCCCCUACCACACACACAGGGCCCUCCUCCCCAGGUGCCCCGCCCUUCUCCUCAUAGUAGUCUAUGCUCACAUUUUGGUGCAUUGAGGUGCACUGGGAAGUGAGGUGAGGAAAUCUCUCCCAGGCUUGCAGAGGCACAUGUGAGAUACCCUCUUCUGCAAACAGGCUGAGAAUUCCAAUCAGAAGCUGCUGAUUUCUGAAGUAGGGCAAAGUUCUGUGGGUUUCUUUGAAAAACAAGAAGCCAGGUAGAGGACAGAAGUGUGAGCUUUGGACUCCUUAUCCUGAACCCACAUCUUUGACAAAAGUUUCAGAUCCCAUCUGGUGUGUGCCCACCACUCCGAGACCACUGAGGCACCCUCUCUGCAGCAGAACACCUAGAGGAGGACAGGAAGCCACACCCACGGGACCUAGCCUCCAUUGAGUUUAUGUCCACUUCCUGUCUUAUGGCAAGUGGGUGUGGAUCUCCGAGAGUGAGGAUCAGAUCCUCACAGACAUCCUGCUACUCUCUGCCAUGGCACAGCUGGGAAGAGUGGGCACCUGGGCUCACCUUCACUUGUGCCAGCCACCAAACCCAUUUGUUGGCUCACCUCUGGUUUUUCCCCAAAGCACUGAGCAAAGGUUCCAAGGGCUCUGGUGACUCCACGCCCCAUCAGGAAUAUAUCCAAUGAAGGCCUGAGGUGCUACCUUUGGUCCCUCUUUGUUAGCUGGUCUUUGCCUUUGGUGUCAUUGGAGCUGGGGUCUCUCUGUGCCUCCAGAGCCAUAGAAGCAUCCCAGAGCACUGGUGACACCAAAGAAGAAAGGUUGACACAGUCGGGGUGACGUGGGGGAGAAUAGGCGGUGGCGGGAUACCAGGAGCUGCUUUCCAUGUGAAAAAGAUAUGUGCAGUAAUAUGUGCAGUAUCCAGUUUGAGAGGCACAAUUAAACAGUUCAUGUGGACCCAGCAGGUAGUAGAUGGGGCAAGCCAGUCCUAAGCAGGCUUCAGAAGGCCAUGCUUUCCUGGGCCAUUCAGUUUGGAGUACUCUCUGAUAGGUUGCAUCUUUACAUCAAACAUCGGGAAGCUUUUUCCAAGAUUAUGUGAUGAGACCAAAGGAUGCUCAUUGGCUUUCUUCUCUGCCACAUAUCCACCAAACCCACUCCAACUCCCCAGAGUUGAAGCUUCACUUGAUUGAUAAAGCCCAGUCCAUUUCUGACUCCAUUCUCUCUGACUGGGCCUCAGCACAUUUUUCUUGGGAGUAGGAGAACCCAACUGUGCCUCUAGGUCCCAGAGCAAACGCUCCGAACUGCUUAGACCCACGAGGCAGUGGCCUGUCUAAGGAGGCAAAUCCACGUGCCUCUGUAUAAAGGCAGCUGUCACUCAAGCUUUACGUCUGCUCCCUGCCAUGGACCCAAUAGCCCCUAACUCUCCAGGAUCACUGAAGCUGUUUUGAAGUCUGCACUUCUUUGGUACUCGCUUUCCCUUUCCCUUACCCUCCCAAGUAGGCAGGGCACUUGGUGCAGGUGUUUUUGCAGACUUUGAACUGAGUAUUAGAUAUCCUUACUUUUCCAGCAGUAGCCAAACUUGGCUGUAGCAACAUAAAAACUUGUGAAAGCUCAGGAAAGAUGAAGCUUGACGGGUCUGGGACAGGGGGAUGGGUGGGCAGUUUGUAAAUACAAGUGGAAAGGCGUAGGAUGGUGGGGGCACGAAUUGGGGUCUGGCUGGGUCACAAGGCAAGGGGCACUGUUUUGAGCUGAAGACUAUGAGGAUUCGGGAAGAAUGAAUAGGCUCCCAGGCCUGUGAUCAGGAAAGGCAGGAUUUUGCUGGGUUUUCCUGGGGAAAGUGUAGUUAUGACUGGAAGGCUGCAAGGUCUUUGACGAGGAACAGGUGCAGCCAGGCAGCAUUGUGCGCAAAAGAGUCAGGCGCUUCCUUCGAGCCGGAAUUGAACCAGCGACCUAAGGAUGUCCACAAACGUUUCCGCAGUCUACAGUCCUCCGCUCUACCAGCUGAGCUAUCGAAGGAUGCACACUGUUAAGGCUGGGUCACUGGACUUUCUGCAAAUGGAGGAAGCCAAGUCCCUGGACCACCGGAGAUCCAAUACUCGUUGAGUUAAUUGGAACCCGACUUGGAAGAGAACUCUGCGCCGGUCUCCACUGCGCCCCUUUCCGGACAGAGCAAAUCCUCUGGGCCCGGGGGGGUGCCUGGCGUCUCUGGGGCGCCGAUAGCCACGAUCCACGAGGAGGAGCUCUCACCUGUGGCCUUCCUCUCCCUCUGCAUCGCUCUUUCUGCUUGUGAAGAUGACAGCCCUUAGUGGCCAGAGGGAAAAUGAGGUAAGACGGCGAGGGCAGAGGGCUUGGUGAGACUGAUGGGUGGGUCCAGUGGAGGAGAGGACACUGGAGGAGGAAAAGAGGAGAACCAGCAUGGGCGUGGUGUAAGCAGCUUCCAACCCCAGCCUAGCGUCAGGGUCUGAUGGAAGACCAUAAGGGGGCACUGCCCUAACAGCCUGUCCUCUACUUCCCACCACCUCAAACACACUCCUCUCGAUGUGCGCGGCCCUUCUACCCAGUGUCCUAUGCUCACUUUUUGGAGUAUUGAGGCAUAAUGGGAAGAGAGGGAGGAAAUGCAGGAGGAUAGGUGGAGGCCAGGUAUGGUGGCUCGCACCGCAAUUCCAACAAUUUAGCGGGCCGAGGCGAAAGGGGCGCUUGAGCGCAGGAGUUCGAGAUCAGCCUGGGCAACAUAGGGAGAAGCCAUCUCUACAGAAAAACUUCUAAAAAGUAUCCGGGUGUGGUGGCCUGCACCUGUGGUCCUGGCCACUCAGCAGGCUGAGGUGGGAGGAUCAUCUGAGCCCGGGUGUUCGAGGCUACAGUAAGCUGUGAUCUUGCCACUGCACUCCAGCCUGGGCGACAGAGACAAUUUAAAAAAAAAAAAAAAAAGAUAUGUGGGGAGAGAGUAGGGCCAGGGGCUCGCAGAUCACCAUGUGAUACCCAUUACCUCUAACCCCAAAGGCCAGCAUAAAAGCUUCGAUCCAGUCCUCUGCUACUGACCAAGAAUCCUUUCCCAGAGGCUGCUGCUUUCUAAAGUAGGGGCCCCUGGAAAGAAAAGGGGGCUGAUAGAGGAAACCAGGUGAGCUUUGGACCCCUUACCUAGGCCACAAAUUGUUACAAAGGGUUCAUAUCCCAUAUGGUGUGUGUCCACUAUCCCAAGACCACUCAUCACCCACACAAACAGUGAGACAGUUACUGGUGGCACAGCAAGCUGAACCCAAAAGACCCACCCUUUAUUGAGUUUAUAGGGGAAAAGUCAUGGUCAGGGAUCACCCACACUUUUGCUGAUGACCAAACACCACUCAAUGGCCCACCUCUGUUUUUUCCCUCAAAGCACCAAGCCUAGGUUCCAAAAAACCUGGUACCGCCACAUCUUAUCAAGGACAUAUCCAGUAUAGACCAAAGGUUCUACUUUGGUUUCUGUUUGCUGAUCUCUGCAGCAAUGUCAUUCGAGGCUGGGAUCUCUCUGGGGCUGCAGAGCUACAGAAUGUUGCUGGGGCACUGGUGAGUCCACAGCUCUGCCCCUUUCCAUCAGCAGUGGGAAGCAGGAAAGGCUGAUACAACAGAGAAGAGGUAGGGAAUAGGCCGUAGGGGGAGAACAGGAUCUGCUUUCUAGGAGGGGAAGACAUGUGUACUCUCUAGUUUGAGACGCAGAGUGAAAAAGCAGUUAUGCCCAUCGGGUAGGGGAGAGUGGUCACCGGGUUCCCAGAAGGCCUCUGAGAACCAAAUUUCCAUCACUGUUUUGCUUGCAGUGCUCUCUGUGAUAAUUUUCAUCUGUAUAUCAAGCGUCUGAAGAUUUUUUUUUUUUUCCCCAGAGCAUAGGAUGGGACCAGGGGACACUCAUUGUGGUUCCUCUCUGGCUCAUACUUUGAUGAACCCACUUCAUCUUCCCAGAGGUGAAGCCCAGUUGGUGAAAGCCAAGCCCAUUUCCUGCUUCAUGCUCUCAGAUUGUGCCAGCCAUCUUCCUCUUGUAGAAGGCGCAACCUUCCAGCUGUGCCUGCAGAGCCCCCACAUAAAAGUGAGCAUGCUGCUCAGAUGCAACAAGCCAGUGGCCUAAGGAGGUGAACUUGUGUACCUCUGCAAGGUGGCAGCUGCCACCCAAGCUUCAAUUCUGCUCCCUGCCAGGGACCCAACAGCCCCCAACCCUCCCGGGUCACUGAAGUUCUUUCCAAGUCUGCCCUUUUAUACUCUCUUUCCCUCUCUCACACCUUCACAACCAGUAAGACACUUGGUAUAGGUGUUUUUGCAGACUUUGAACUGAGUGGAAGGUAUCUUUCUUCUUCCAGCAGGAGCCCAAAGUUUACUGUAGCAACAUUAAAAGGUGCGAAGGCUCGGGAAA